UUUAUGAAAAUCUAUCAAUAAAACAUUAUUGAUUCAUUCAUUAAUACACAAUGGUACAGUCCGUCAGGUGGUUCGCUCCAUUGACAGUCAGUGAGUGUGUCUGUGUCCAACUCUUCCUCACAGGUUAGUUAAUGACAGACAGUCAGUGAGUGUGUCUGUGUCCAACUCUUCCUCACAGGUUAGUUAAUGACAGACAGUCAGUGAGUGUGUCUGUGUCCAACUCUUCCUCACAGGUUAGUUAAUGACAGACAGUCAGUGAGUGUGUCUGUGUCCAACUCUUCCUCACAGGUUAGUUAAUGACAGACAGUCAGUGAGUGUGUCUGUGUCCAACUCUUCCUCACAGGUUAGUUAAUGACAGACAGUCAGUGAGUGUGUCUGUGUCCAACUCUUCCUCACAGGUUAGUUAAUGAUGUUACUGAGUCAAUGUGAGCAGAUUGUGUCUGUAGACUGAAGAGAAUCAGAGUCUCACUGAUGGUGGAAAUAAAGGUUUUACUUCCUUAAAACA